UACGUAGGGCGCAAGCGUUAUCCGGAAUUAUUGGGCGUAAAGCGCGUGUAGGCGGCUUAGCAAGUCGGGCGUGAAAGCCCUCGGCUCAACCGAGGAAGUGCACCCGAAACUGCUGAGCUUGAGUGCCGGAGAGGAUGGCGGAAUACCCCAAGUAGAGGUGAAAUUCGUAGAUAUGGGGUGGAACACCGGUGGCGAAGGCGGCCAUCUGGACGGUAACUGACGCUGAGACGCGAAAGCGUGGGGAGCAAACAGG
rnacentral:rRNA from 1 species